UACAGAGGGUGCGAGCGUUAAUCGGAAUUACUGGGCGUAAAGCGUGCGUAGACGGCUAUCUAAGUCGGGUGUGAAAGCCCCGGGCUCAACCUGGGAAUUGCAUUCGAGACUGAAUAGCUAGGGUACGGUAGAGGGAAGUGGAAUUUCCGGUGUAGCGGUGAAAUGCGUAGAUAUCGGAAGGAACAUCAGUGGCGAAAGCGACUUUCUGGACCAGUACCGACGUUCAGGCACGAAAGCGUGGGGAGCAAACAGG
rnacentral:rRNA from 1 species